rnacentral:rRNA from 1 species
CAGUAGCCGCGGUAAUACGAGGGGGGCAAGCGUUGUUCGGAAUUAUUGGGCGUAAAGGGUGCGUAGGCGGCUUAACAAGUCUUGUGUGAAAUCUAUGGGCUCAACCCAUAGUCUGCACGGGAAACUGUCGGGCUUGAGAAUGGGAGAGGUGAGUGGAAUUUCCGGUGUAGCGGUGAAAUGCGUAGAUAUCGGAAGGAACACCUGUGGCGAAAGCGGCUCACUGGACCAUUUCUGACGCUGAUGCACGAAAGCUAGGGGAGCAAACAGGAUUAGAUACCCGCGUAGUCCCUGUCUCUUAUAA